GCGGGGCCGCCAUCUCAGGCGGUCAGCGGCGGGCGUUACGGCGGUGUGGCCUGCCUGGUGGUUUGGAUGCCAGGGUAACAGUUGUGAUUGGAGUGCGUUUGGUGCACAUCUUCAGCAGAGCUGCUGCUUUAGUUUCCUCUGAAAAAAAAACGGUUCCUGCCCACGAAAACCAGUCUGUGAACCAAAUGAAUGCGAGUGCAACUGCUGAAUCCACUUCCAAAUCGUGUUCCUCCAAAUCAAGAGGCUAACGUAGGCACAGACAACAGUAUACCAGAGACUACUCCCAUUCCUGAGCUCUCGUAAACUUCUUCAUCGAUAUUUUCUUCUUCUGUCCGCCGGAACACCUUCAAGCAACCCAAACGAUUCAAUGGACAGAGGCAUGGAUGGCUUCCACUCUACCAUCCCAGAACCUAGCAACAGCAGGCAACAAAGGAGUGUCUUUUUUAGAGUAUACUGGAAUAAUGUGCAACACCCAGAAUCAGCCUCUGGAAUGACUGAGGGCACAGGGCUGCCUCUGAGUGGAGCAAGCCUGACCCAGAAGUACAACAGCAGGCAAUGCAUAUGUUGAUCCAUUUUUAGCAUUUUCAAGAUCCACUGCUGAUGGUAACGUGUCUGUUUUGGCAUCUUCAUCAACAUCUGCAAGGAUUUGGUUUAGUUUUCCAGUAUUCUUUUCAGCUGAUGUAAGUAGUUCGUAUUUUCUCCCAUCUGUUGCUGAGACACCUUGAGGCACUGUGGCAGAAUUUAUCUCAGCUGAAAAUUCAUAUUCAUACCUUUUUUCAGGCAAAUCGCUUUUUGAUAAAUUUUCAGUCAUUUUAUGGUUUUCCUCAUUGUCAUCUGCUUUAGGAACUUCAUAUGAAAUUUCACUCAGACUUUUAGCAGUUAGGUCAACUACUUCAGGAUUCUCUGAUGAAUGUAAUGAGUCUUUCCUGGCAUCAUUUUCAGGAAACGCGUGAAAGCUUUCAUUUUGUCCUUUUGUAUUUAGACCACUUGAGAUUUCAUCUUGUUCUGUCUCCAAAGACAUUGUUGCUGUUCAGCUGCUUCUGGAUUGAUAACUGAUUCUUUUCAGUAUUUUUUUAAGAAAUCAAACUGUAAGCAUCAAAUCUAUAUGGAGUAAUACAUACUUCCACCAUCAGUAGACUGAGCUUGUAAGAAAGCUUAAUAAAAAUCUGGACUUCUUCCACA